AACGAACGCUGGCGGCAGGCUUAACACAUGCAAGUCGAGCGAGACCUUCGGGUCUAGCGGCGGACGGGUGAGUAACGCGUGGGAACGUGCCCUUCUCUACGGAAUAGCCCCGGGAAACUGGGAGUAAUACCGUAUACGCCCUUAGGGGGAAAGAUUUAUCGGGGAAGGAUCGGCCCGCGUUGGAUUAGGUAGUUGGGGGGGUAAUGGCCCACCAAGCCGACGAUCCAUAGCUGGUUUGAGAGGAGGAUCAGCCACACUGGGACUGAGACACGGCCCAGACUCCUACGGAAGGCAGCAGUGGGGAAUCUUAGACAAUGGGGGCAACCCUGAUCUAGCCAUGCCGCGUGAGUGAUGAAGGCCUUAGGGUUGUAAAGCUCUUUCAGCUGGGAAGAUAAUGACGGUACCAGCAGAAGAAGCCCCGGCUAACUCCGUG
rnacentral:rRNA from 1 species